rnacentral:tRNA from 1 species
GGAAAGGCCAGCCGACUGGUGACGGCAGCGCGGUGCUAACGCGUCGAGCGCAAGCCUUGUGGGUUCAACUCCCACCCUUUCCG